CUCCGCUGGCGGCUGCGUCUCCGAAAGUUGUGCUGAAAACCCAGAGGCCGUGACAUGAUUAAUCGUUUUCUUCUGAUCUAAUUUUGGAACAUGAAAAACAGCACAUUUGUCUUGAAGAAAAAUGAUGUGCCGAACUGCGCAGAUGGAAAUUUCGAGCAAUGAGAAAGAUUAAAGUGAAACCCCACUCCUUAGACCUAAUCAUGAGUUGUAGAUUAUUCUGUCGGCCCAGCCAGAUGGUAGCUCUGAUUCCACAGCCCCUUCUUAUAUUAAUGAAUACUAGACUGUUAUAUUUGACUUAGGAGUCAGUUCAGAUGUCUUGGCUGUGAAGAGAUGACCCUUUUCCAUCUACUCCCAGCUUACUUCUCCAGCCUCAUCUCUCACCUCUCCUUCACUAUGAACCCUGCACUUCUGCCACAGGAGCCUUCUCCAGGCUCUGAAGAAUGCUAGGCUCUUUCACAACAAUGUAUUUGUGUCUGUGUUUGUUUGUCCCACUCCCUUCCAUUCUUUAUCUGGCAAACUCCUAUUCAUCCUUCAAGACCCAACACCCAUGUGUCCUCCUCUGCCCCUUUCCUCACAUUCCUCUGGGCAUUAUUUAAUACUCUGGUCUUCCAUCACAUUUUGUCCACAUCCCUGUGGAAAUAUGGGCUGGGUUGCAUUGAAAAAUGCAUGUUUUUGUAAACACACUUCUACAUUUCCUUUCCUUUCCAACUAGUUGUGCAUUCAUCCGUUUGUUCAUGCAUCUGAGUAGUGCGUCUUGAGAACCUACUGUAUUGCCAGGUGUUGUUUCAGGCCCUAGGGAUUCAGCCCGGUACAAAAUUCUCAGCCCUCUCAGAGGUGCCAUUUUGGUAUUAUCUGUGUGGGUCUGUUAGUGAGGCUUCUUCUCAGGAAGAAAUAGAAAUUCAUUUAGGCCAGCUCUCAUAGUGGGGGUUAUUGUAAAAUAGUGGCAAUAAAGGAGCGAAAAUCUCAUGGGGACCCAAGACAACUGGAUGGCUUCUGAACAACCUCUCAGCUUCUAUAACUCAUUAUUGGGUCACUCAUGGCCCCUCUCAGGCCUUACUGCCGUUUUAAAAACUUUGUAUUGUGGUAUACACGCAGAAAACUGCACAUAAGGGGCACCUGGGUGGCUCAGUCCCUAAGUGUCUGAA